GAGUUUGAUCCUGGCUCAGAUUGAACGCUGGCGGCAUGCCUUACACAUGCAAGUCGAACGGCAGCACGGGUGCUUGCACCUGGUGGCGAGUGGCGAACGGGUGAGUAAUACAUCGGAACAUGUCCUGUAGUGGGGGAUAGCCCGGCGAAAGCCGGAUUAAUACCGCAUACGAUCUGAGGAUGAAAGCGGGGGACCUUCGGGCCUCGCGCUAUAGGGUUGGCCGAUGGCUGAUUAGCUAGUUGGUGGGGUAAAGGCCUACCAAGGCGACGAUCAGUAGCUGGUCUGAGAGGACGACCAGCCACACUGGGACUGAGACACGGCCCAGACUCCUACGGGAGGCAGCAGUGGGGAAUUUUGGACAAUGGGCGAAAGCCUGAUCCAGCAAUGCCGCGUGUGUGAAGAAGGCCUUCGGGUUGUAAAGCACUUUUGUCCGGAAAGAAAUCCUUGGUUCUAAUAUAGCCGGGGGAUGACGGUACCGGAAGAAUAAGCACCGGCUAACUACGUGCCAGCAGCCGCGGUAAUACGUAGGGUGCAAGCGUUAAUCGGAAUUACUGGGCGUAAAGCGUGCGCAGGCGGUUUGCUAAGACCGAUGUGAAAUCCCCGGGCUCAACCUGGGAACUGCAUUGGUGACUGGCAGGCUAGAGUAUGGCAGAGGGGGGUAGAAUUCCACGUGUAGCAGUGAAAUGCGUAGAGAUGUGGAGGAAUACCGAUGGC
rnacentral:rRNA from 1 species